rnacentral:rRNA from 1 species
CAGGUAGUAACCAGGGUUCGAUCAUGGCUCAGGGUGAACGCUGGCGGGAUGUACUACGCUUCCGUCAGACGGCGCUGGACUUCGGUCUGGUGGCGAGUGGCGAACGGGUGAGUAAUGUAUCGGAACGUGCCUAGUAGCGGGGGAUAACUUUACGCGAAAGCGUAGCUAAUACCACAUACGCCCUUCGGGGAAAGCGGGGGACCUUCGGGCCUCGCACUAUUAAAACGGCGAAUAUCGGAUUAGCUAGUUGGUGGGGUAACGGCUCACCAAGGCGACGAUCCGUAGCUGGUUUUGAGAGGACGACCAACCACACUGGGACGAGACACGGCCCAGACUCCUACGGGAGGCAGCGGUGGGGAAUUUUGGACAAUAGGGAAACCCUGAUCCAGCCAUCCCGCGUGUGCGAUGAAGGCCUUCGGGUUGUAAAGCACUUUUGGCAGGAAAGAAACGGCACGGGAUAAUACCCCGUGCAACUGACGGUACCUGCAGAAUAAGCACCGGCUAACUACGUGCCAGCAGCCGCGGUAAUACGUAAAGUGCAAGCGUUAAUCGAGAUUACUGGAGCGUAAAGCGUGCGCAGGCGGUUCGGAAAGAAAGAUGUAUGAAAUCCCAGAGCUUAACUUUGGAGCCAUUUUUACUUACCGAGGCAAGAACAUUAUCGAGGAGGCGAUUGCAAUAUCACAUGAUGAAAUUCCGGCGAUGUACGGAGGAACACCGAUGGCGAGCAGCCUCCUGGGAUAACACUGACGCUCAUGCACGAAAGCGUGGGGAGCAAACAGGAUUAGAUACCCUGGUAGUCCACGCCCUAAACGAUGUCAAUAGCUGUUGGGGCCUUCGGGCCUUGGUAGCGCAGCUAACGCGUGAAGUUGACCGCCUGGGAGUACGGUCGCAAGAUUAAAACUCAAAGGAAUUGACGGGGACCCGCACAAGCGGUGGAUGAUGUGGAUUAAUUCGAUGCAACGCGAAAAACCUUACCUACCCUUGACAUAUCUGGAAUCCCGAAGAGAUUGGUGCUCGCAAGAGAACCGGAACACAGGUGCUGCAUGGCUGUCGUCAGCUCGUGUCGUGAGAUGUUGGGUUAAGUCCGCAACGAGCGCAACCCUUGUCAUUAGUUGCUACGAAAGGGCACUCUAAUGAGACUGCCGGUGACAAACCGGAGGGAAGGUGGGGAUGACGUCAAGUCCUCAUGGCCCUUAUGGGUAGGGCUUCACACGUCAUACAAUGAAUUGGGACAGAGGGUCGCCAACCCGCGAGGGGAGCCAAUCCCAGAAACCCGAUCGUAGUCCGGAUCGCAGUCUACUAACUCGACUACGUGAAGUCGGAAUCGCUAGUAAUCGCGGAUCAGCAUGUCGCGGUGAAUACGUUCCGGGUCUUGUACACACCGCCCGUCACACCAUGGGAGUGGGUUUUACCAGAAGUAGUUAGCCUAACCGUAAGGAGGGCGAUUACCACGGUAGGAUUCAUGACUGGGGUGAAGUCGUAACAAGGUAG